ensembl:lncRNA
CGUCUAACAAUCUCAUAUAGGUGUGAUGGUGGGGUGUCCGCAUACUUUUGGCCAUAUGGUGUAUAUAUAUUCAGAUCACAUACAAAGGCCGGGUUUCAAUAUCCUGUUUGCCUUUGUGAAUCAGACUUCAAGUCAGUCAUGCAUUGCUACAACCUGAAAGUGAACACAGAGGUUUUUGUCUUCUUUCUGACAGAGAAAGCGAGAGGCGUUGAACGCCCGAGCAUCCUGUCAGAGGUGGACCUGGGCUGUGUCUCACCAGUCUGAAGUGUCUGCCUCUUCCUUCACUACCUUGCCUCUCAUUUAUCUCCUUGAAAGAACUGGGCCAGAACCAGAAUGUCUGGACCAGAACCAGAACGUGCCAAUCGCAGAAAUGGUGCCACCCACCAUGUGAUUGUGAGCUUUCAGUGUUGCGGUAGGAGAGGAGACAAGGAAACAAACGGAGGAAGCGAUUCUUGCCAGAUGAAACGCAGUGCGAGCACAGGGGUUUGUGGUCUGUGACUCAAUUCCUGUCAGAUCCUUGAGCUAGACAGAAAACGUAUUUUUUGUCUUCACGUGUGAUAAACUUGAAACUGCUUUAACGGAUCAGACAUUAGAAAUAUUUACACAUCAUUAAUAUGCAGUUGCUUUGGAGUCACCUGUUUCUCCUGGAAAGCUGAAAUGAAAGCGGACCCAGAUUUACACCUGUGCAGAAGAGGUGUAGUACUGGUCCGGUCCACUUCAAGAGCAGAAUACCCAUUACAUACGACAACAAGACCCCCUAUGAGCACAAGAACCCCUACAGACAUAAGAUCCUCUACAGACACAGGAUCACAGCCAAACGAGAACCAGAAGGUCGUUACCACAGCCAAUGACACUCCCACACCCGCUAACACCUCCUCACUCAACUGCACCCAGAGGACUUCCACAGCCCCGCCGCCCACGACCCCGGUCAUAACGGACUCCACCCACACCAGCAGCAAUGCCACGGGUGGCGACAACCCGUCCCAGGACCAGACCACGGUCGUACCCCCGUCAACCGAACCCACUUCGACCGUUACCACAGGGACACCGCGGCUGGUGCAAACCAUCGGCCAAUCAGAGGCAAAGGUGACCACUGCCGCGGGGACAGAUGUCGUUCAGACCACCAUGACAGGCGCACGACAGGGAUCCAGUGAUGCAAUAGGUUACGUAAUCCUGUUCUUCAUAUUAAUGGCCAUUUUCUUUGUGCUGUUUGGUAUCUACUUCCUGAGAAAGAAGUCCAGGAGAUACUCGUUUGACCUGCAACGACCAGGUUACGACCAUGAGACCCCGCUCACUGGCAUGGAACAACCCGGAACCUUUGAACCCACCAAAGAGAAGGCUGGAGGGUUUGAGAGCAUUAGCCAGGGUGGGGCUGAGGGCAGGGCUGAGGAAGACCCCCAGACCCCGGUGCCCAACGGGUCGGCUGGGGAGCCCGACGCCACCAUGUCCCCUGGAGAGAACGGUAGGCUGGUCCCAGAUUCAUGAAAACAGAACGUGCUGUAAUUUUUAAACAGUUCUCCUGCUAGAUUAAAAUCCUGCUGGAUUUUAAACACCCUUGAAUGAAAGGUAGCACUCAGCAUUCCCAUUGUCAUUGCAUCAGUUCUGAUUCAAAAGGCUGAAAUACACAGCAAUAAAUGAAAUGAGAAAUGUGCUCGGUCCAAAGGCUUCGAGGUGGCGUCUUGGCAACAGACCCACACCCCACGCGUACCUUAUCACUUAAACUGGGUGGUUCAAAUACAGAAUGCUUAUUGGCUAAAAGCUUUGAGACAUUAUGAGACCUAACUAAUGACACCUGUUUUAACACCAUCUAUUCACAGUUUCUGAAGUAUCUUGGUCAGAAGUUGUUAAAAUGUAAUGAAAUGUAUUCUCAUACUCGCUCUCCCUCUAUCCCUCCCCCCAACCCAUCUAGCAAUAGAGAAGAAGGAUGAUGAUGAUGAUGAAGACAUCUUCAAUCUCUGCUCUGAGAUCAGUCUGACUCCACCAGUGAAGAGGGUGGGCUUUAGCUUGGACCUGGACCUGAGUGACAAGCUGUCAAACAAGUCAGACGCUGGAGACAAGGAGCAGAAUGCCAACAACAAUAAUGUUGCUAUGGCAAUUUUCCCUGACACUCUUGGCCUGACCUUUGACCCCAUGGGUUCAGUUGGUGUCUUCAGUGACAUCAGUCUGGAUGUAUAGACAGACAGACAGACACACACACCUAAAUUAGUCAGUGGGUAAAAAGGUUCCUCUAUGCCCUAUUUUUUGUAACAUCUCAUCAGGAGCAUGCCCAGAUGUUGUCAGGCAUGCCUACAGGCAUGUGGGGACCAUACACACUACUGAGUAACAAUGUGUUGCCGUGAUGAAAUUCACAGUAGUUACUUUAGCUUUUUGAGUGUGAAUCCAUUCCUCAAUCGGUUGGUGAUUUUGGCUUUCAUUGACCAUUUUUACGUUAUUAUGUUCUCAAUGAAAUACACAAUGUACAGUGAAACUUAGGAUCCUUCAUGUAAUCCCUUCAUCGAGACACCGUGUGAUUUUAGUAAUCCCUUCAUUUUUUUAAAUACUUUUUUUGUGGGUGUUUUUAUGUUAAACAUGAAUUGCAACAAAAGCGGACAAUUUCGGUGUGGUUCUCUUUCAGAAUAAAGUUUUUUCAACCAAGGA